rnacentral:rRNA from 1 species
AGGGGGGGGGGUUCAGUCGUAGGAACUCGAAGGAUCAUUU